AGCGAACGCUGGCGGCAGGCUUAACACAUGCAAGUCGAGCGGACCUUUCGGGGUCAGCGGCGGACGGGUGAGUAACGCGUGGGAACGUGCCUUCCGGUUCGGAAUAACCCUGGGAAACUAGGGCUAAUACCGGAUACGCCCUUAUGGGGAAAGGUUUACUGCCGGAAGAUCGGCCCGCGUCUGAUUAGCUAGUUGGUGGGGUAACGGCCUACCAAGGCGACGAUCAGUAGCUGGUCUGAGAGGAUGAUCAGCCACACUGGGACUGAGACACGGCCCAGACUCCUACGGGAGGCAGCAGUGGGGAAUAUGGGACAAUGGGCGCAAGCCUGAUCCAGCCAUGCCGCGGGAGUGAUGAAGGCCUUAGGGUUGUAAAGCUCUUUUAUCCGGGACGAUAAUGACGGUACCGGAGGAAUAAGCCCCGGCUAACUUCGU
rnacentral:rRNA from 1 species